rnacentral:rRNA from 1 species
UAAUGCAGGCAUUGCUUAGUACGGCGAGUGAAGCGGCAAAAGCUCAAAUUUGAAAUCUGGCACCUUCGGUGUCCGAGUUGUAAUUUGAAGAAGGUAACUUUGGAGUUGGCUCUUGUCUAUGUUCCUUGGAACAGGACGUCACAGAGGGUGAGAAUCCCGUGCGAUGAGAUGCCCAAUUCUAUGUAAAGUGCUUUCGAAGAGUCGAGUUGUUUGGGAAUGCAGCUCUAAGUGGGUGGUAAAUUCCAUCUAAAGCUAAAUAUUGGCGAGAGACCGAUAGCGAACAAGUACAGUGAUGGAAAGAUGAAAAGAACUUUGAAAAGAGAGUGAAAAAGUACGUGAAAUUGUUGAAAGGGAAGGGCUUGAGAUCAGACUUGGUAUUUUGCGAUCCUUUCCUUCUUGGUUGGGUUCCUCGCAGCUUACUGGGCCAGCAUCGGUUUGGAUGGUAGGAUAAUGACUAAGGAAUGUGGCUCUACUUCGGUGGAGUGUUAUAGCCUUGGUUGAUACUGCCUGUCUAGACCGAGGACUGCGUCUUUUGACUAGGAUGUUGGCAUAAUGAUCUUAAGCCACCCGUCUGAACACACGGGGCCAAAAAAAAACAGCAAAAGAACGGACCAAGCG